GCUCUGUUGUGGAUAAGUAAAAGGAAAAAAAAAACAUAACUGCACGCUCUCAUCUCCCUCUCGCUCUUUGCCUCUCUCUUUCUUGUUUGCCACCUAUCUCCCUGUCUUCAAAGCAUAGAUCUUUCUUUGUCACUCUUGCCGCAACCACUGAUCCUGAGACACAAUUGAACCAAUUUUUUCUUUUUGCUGCUAGAAAUUCGAAUUCAACCUCAUCCCUUCUCAUUUGUGACUCAAUUAGCAAGAGAAGCAGAGAUUUGGGGGUGGAUUAAUUGGGGAAAGAUCAGGAAGAAAGCAUUGAUGAAUGCAGAGACAAUGGUGGUGCUUUUGUGAAGAAGCACGGAUUGGUCAGAAAAAUGUGAGAUUUGUAGAGGAAAUGGGAAGAACUAAUUGGAAAGGAAUGGUGAAUGAUGAGUCGAAAUCAGAGCAAGACGGAGGAGAAUAUGGAAAGCGGACCUCUAAGAAAAGUGAGAAUGGGGUGUAGUUUAAAGGUCGAAGAUGAAGUGGGGCAUUCUAAUGACAUCGAUACAGAGAAAGGUUUGCGAAGAAGAAAGAGAGUAGGUUAUUUUCUUGGGGCCAUAAAGGAUCAUACGAAGCAGGAAGAAAGAAAAGUAAAUAAGCAGUCCAAGAAAUUAUGAUAUGGUGUCUAGCACUAUUCUUUCCUUUGAUCAAUGCCGUAAAGAACAUGUGUGUUGCUGCCGAUGCUUGUCGGGCUCAGGACAGAUGAGGGAGGAAACACGAUAGCCUUGCGUUGGUACAGAAACAAAUCCAAUCUUCACCAUGUGUGGGAUAGGGAGAUCAUACAACAAAUUAUGAAGGACUAUUAUGACAGAACACACGGGAAAGACUUCGGCAAACAGUUUUGCUGUAAAUUCUUGUCAACUACAGAGACUGGAAGAUGAAGAGGAGACGCGUAAAGUUUAGAAGGAAAAACACUCAAGGGGAUAUCUUGCUAGGUCCGACAGAGAAGCACUGGUCUGAUGUAGUAUUAUAGACUAUAUAAAUGUCUAAUCAUGUAUAUAUAUUUAAUUACUCCAAAUGAAAUACAUUACAAUCUCAAAGAUUCCAAAUAAGGGUUUUUCAUUUUGUAAAUUAUGAAUUGUAACAUUGAUUUGAAUUUCACUUUUGUUUGGAA